UACAGAGGGUGCGAGCGUUAAAUCGGAAUUACUGGGCGUAAAGCGCGCGUAGGCGGCCAACUAAGUCAGACGUGAAAUCCCCAGGCUCAACCUGGGAACUGCGUCUGAUACUGGAUGGCUUGAAUCCGGGAGAGGGAUGCAGAAUUCCAGGUGUAGCGGUGAAAAUGCGUAGAUAUCUGGAGGAAUACCGGUGGCGAAGGCGGCAUCCUGGACCGGCAUUGACGCUGAGGGAGCGAAAAGCUAGGGGG
rnacentral:rRNA from 1 species